rnacentral:tRNA from 1 species
GGUGGCUCAGUGGUAGAGUGCUUGCCUUGCAUGCAUAUGGCCCUAGGUUCGAUUCCUCAGCACCA